rnacentral:rRNA from 1 species
UACAGAGGUCUCAAGCGUUGUUCGGAUUCAUUGGGCGUAAAGGGUGCGUAGGCGGUUUGAUAAGUCUGAUGUGAAAUCCCCGGGCUCAACCUGGGAACGGCAUUGGAGACUGUCAAGCUAGAGUGCGUCAGAGGGGGGUAGAAUUCCACGUGUAGCAGUGAAAUGCGUAGAGAUGUGGAGGAAUACCGAUGGCGAAGGCAGCCCCCUGGGAUGACACUGACGCUGAAGCACGAAAGCGUGGGGAGCAAACAGG